GAUGAACGCUAGCUACAGGCUUAACACAUGCAAGUCGAGGGGAAACGGGCGUCAGGCUUGCCUGACGCAGUCGUCGACCGGCGAAUGGGUGAGUAACGCGUAUCCAACCUGCCCGCAAGCGGGGAAUAGGCUUUCGAAAGAAAGAUUAAUACCCCAUGUACUCCUCAGCAGUCAUCUAAAGAGGAGCAAAGAUUUAUCGCUUGCGGAUGGGGAUGCGUCUGAUUAGGCAGUUGGCGGGUUAACAGCCCACCAAACCGACGAUCAGUAGGGGUUCUGAGAGGAAGGUCCCCCACAUUGGAACUGAGACACGGUCCAAACUCCUACGGGAGGCAGCAGUAGGGAAUAUUGGACAAUGGGCGCAAGCCUGAUCCAGCCAUGCCGCGUGAGUGAAGAAGGCCCUCGGGUUGUAAAGCUCUUUUGUCCGGAAAGAAAGCGCCGGGUUAAUACCCUGGUGUCCUGACGGUACCGGAAGAAUAAGCACCGGCUAACUUCGUGCCAGCAGCCGCGGU
rnacentral:rRNA from 1 species